AGAGUUUGAUCCUGGCUCAGAUUGAACGCUGGCGGCAUGCUUUACACAUGCAAGUCGAACGGCAGCACGGGGGCAACCCUGGUGGCGAGUGGCGAACGGGUGAGUAAUGUAUCGGAACAUGUCCGGAAGUGGGGGAUAACGUAGCGAAAGUUACGCUAAUACCGCAUAUGCCCUGAGGGGGAAAGGAGGGGAUCGCAAGACCUUUCGCUUUCGGAGUGGCCGAUAUCAGAUUAGCUAGUUGGUGAGGUAAAGGCUCACCAAGGCGACGAUCUGUAGCUGGUCUGAGAGGACGACCAGCCACACUGGGACUGAGACACGGCCCAGACUCCUACGGGAGGCAGCAGUGGGGAAUUUUGGACAAUGGGGGCAACCCUGAUCCAGCCAUGCCGCGUGAGUGAAGAAGGCCUUCGGG
rnacentral:rRNA from 1 species